rnacentral:rRNA from 1 species
UACAGCGGUCUCAAGCGUUGUUCGGAUUCAUUGGGCGUAAAGGGUGCGUAGGCGGCGCGGUAAGUCGGGUGUGAAAUCUCGGGGCUUAACUCCGAAACUGCAUUCGAUACUGCCGUGCUUGAGGACUGGAGAGGAGACUGGAAUUUACGGUGUAGCGGUGAAAUGCGUAGAUAUCGUAAGGAAGACCAGUGGCGAAGGCGGGUCUCUGGACAGUUCCUGACGCUGAGGCACGAAGGCCAGGGGAGCAAACGGG